rnacentral:rRNA from 1 species
CAGUAGCCGCGGGAAUACGUAGGGUGCGAGCGUUAAUCGGAAUUACUGGGCGUAAAGCGCGCGUAGGUGGUUCGCCAAGUUGGAUGUGAAAUCCCCGGGCUCAACCUGGGAACUGCAUCCAAAACUGGCGAGCUAGAGUAUGGUAGAGGGUGGUGGAAUUUCCUGUGUAGCGGUGAAAUGCGUAGAUAUAGGAAGGAACAUCAGUGGCGAAGGCGACCACCUGGACUGAUACUGACACUGAGACACGAAAGCGUGGGGAUCAAACAGGAUUAGAUACCCCAGUAGUCCCUGUCUCUUAUAC